AUUAUCUUGACGUUAGCUGCAGAAGAAGCACCGGCUAACUCCGUGCCAGCAGCCGCGGUAAUACGGAGGGUGCGAGCGUUAAUCGGAAUUACUGGGCGUAAAGCGCAUGCAGGCGGUUUGUUAAGCAAGAUGUGAAAGCCCCGGGCUCAACCUGGGAACCGCAUUUUGAACUGGCAGGCUAGAGUCUUGUAGAGGGGGGUAGAAUUUCAGGUGUAGCGGUGAAAUGCGUAGAGAUCUGAAGGAAU
rnacentral:rRNA from 1 species